AAUUUUUUUAAACAAAUCUAAUUUCACUUUCUUCUACUUCCCUCUUUUUUCCUUUCCCCCACGCUUUUUUCCCUCUCUCACAAACCCCUCCUCCAAUUUGUUUUCGACAAACCCCUCACCACCGUCGGUUUUCUUUCCCCACUUGUGAUGAUUUUUAGCAACCACCACCGCCCCCUCCCCCCGAUUUGUUUUUGUCCCCCCGAUUUGUUUUUGUCUCCCCCUCCCAAUUUUCUUUUACACAAAUCCCUCUCAUCCAACCUGAUUUUUUGUUUGCAGGACGUUGGACUCAGGUGCUUGCUGAAGAGGUUGCCGAACUGGUUCGCGACCAUCGCCCCCAAUUCCCUUGUUGCAGUCACAGCUCUGUUGCUUAUCGAAAAGACCCAUCGUUACUAUGCUUGGAUAUUAUGACCUACAGAAAGGAUGCUGUGAAGAUCAGAUGUUUAAGAAGAAAACAACUUAAUGCACGAAAAGAAAUCUAAAAGGCGUUUAGAGUACUUACUAUUGAUCAUCACAUUAAAAAACCGAGUGCUAAGAACAUAGGCCUUGCAUGAUUUUUGGAUCUUGGUUGAGGCCCACUAAUCGUAAAAUUAGGCGUUCAAGAACACAGAAUGUGCUUAGUGGAAAUUGAAUGUUGGAAGCCUAUAUUACCUGUAAUGAAGAACACAAAAACACACACGAAGCUAGAAGAAGAAACUUUGUCCAUAUUUUUAGAGAAAUUUUCAAGUUUUCAAUCUUUCUGUAAGUCCAAAGCUUUUAUAAAGACUGAUCGAUUAUUAUGACCAAGAAAUUGGGAUUUGUAGUUGACAUUUCUUUGUAUUGGUUACACUUACAUUCUCUUGUCCAUAAAUUGAUUGUAAUAUUUGAUA